CCUUCCCCUUCCCCUUCCCCUUCCCCUCUUAUCUUUAAGAAAGAAUUGGUUAAAAAAAACAGAAGAAAAAGAAAAGAAAGAAAUGGCAGAGGACAUCAAGAUGAAGAAGAGGAAGAUGGCACAUCUUAUGUUCAUUCCUGUUCCUGGUGCUGGCCACUUACCUUCUAUCCUCGAAUUCGCCAACCUCCUUGUCAACCGUUUCAACAACAUUUCCAUAACCGUUUUCACUAGUAAAUUCCCAUUUUCUCCCUCGCCACCUUCACUCACCUCUUCGCACCCUCAAAUCCAACUCAUUCCUCUCCCUGAAACUCCAGAACCUCCAUCAUCACAGCAACUCCUACUGAAGGCGCGUGAACUCUACGUCGUGACCUUCAUCGACUCCCUCAUACCCCACGUCAAGUCAGCAAUCCAAACCAUUCUCUCUUCAUAUUCUUCCAACUCUGAUGAAUCAAAGCCACUCUUUACUUUGGUUCUUGAUUUCUUCUGUGUUUCAAUGGUUGAUGUGGGAAUUGAACUUGGCAUACCUUCUUAUAUCUACAUGACUUCAAAUGCUGGGUUCUUAGGGUACAUGUUUUCCAUUCUUGAACGUCAAAUUGAUGAUGUUUUCAAUUAUUCUGAUCCUGAUUUGUUGAUUCAAGGUAUUUCAAUUCCAGCUCCUUCUAGGGUUUUACCUGAUGCUUCUUUUAACAGUGAUGGUGGAUUUGUUGGGUAUUAUAAGUGUGCUCAGAGGUUCAGAGACACCAAAGGAAUUAUUGUUAAUACUUUUUCAGAGUUGGAGAAUUAUGCUAUUGAUGCAUUAUUAUCAGAUGGAGGAAGAAAAAGAAAUCCUCCUAUUUUUGCUGUUGGUCCUUUGAUUAAUCUCAAAGGACAGCAAAACCCGAAUUUAGAUCAAAAUCUCCAUGAAAAGAUUAUGAAAUGGCUUGAUCUGCAGCCAGAUUGUUCUGUUGUGUUUUUGUGUUUUGGGAGUAGAGGAAGCUUUGGUCCAUCCCAAACAAGGGAAAUAGGGAUGGCGCUUCGUCAUACCGGAGUUAGGUUCUUGUGGGCUAUGCGUUCGCCACCGGACAAAGUUAUCGACGAGGAGAGCACCUUGCCGGAAGGGUUCUUGGAAUGGAUGGAAGGGAAGGGAAUGAUUUGCGAGUGGGCGCCACAGGUGGAGGUUCUUGCUCACAAAGCAAUUGGUGGGUUUGUUUCACAUUGUGGUUGGAACUCUAUUUUGGAGAGCUUGUGGUUUGGGGUGCCAAUAUUGACAUGGCCUAUUUAUGCAGAACAACAUCUUAAUGCUUUUAGGAUGGUUAAGGAAUUUGGAUUAGCAAUUGAGCUAACAUUGGAUUAUAGAUUUGGUAGUAAUGAUGUUGUAACGGCAAAUGAGAUAGAGAAUGGGUUGAAACAAUUGAUGGACAGAGAUAAUGUUGUGCACAAGAAGGUGAAAGAGAUGAAAGAGAUGGCUAGGAAGGCUAUCCUCAAUGGUGGAUCUUCUUUUAAUUCUGCUGGAGAACUAAUUGAUAAUAUGUUAGCUUACAGAAGUCCUAGUUGACCCCCAUCAAACGAACAAAGAAAAUGGUGGAAACUGAGAUGAACAAGCAAGAUAAGCCAAUCUUCAUUCCCUCACCGGGAUUUCUCAGUCUCAUGAUUUCCCUCCAAACCUGUUGAGUCGAGGAUGUGUUCAACGAUUCUGAUCCUGAUUUGUUGAUUCCAGGUAUCUCCAAACUAGUUCCUUCAGCGGUUUUAACUGAUGCUCUUUUAAACAAAGAUGGUGGAUAUGUUGCAUGUUAUAAGCUUGCUCAAAGUUUCAAAGGCUCCAAAGGGAUCAUUAACACUUUUUCCGAGAUCGAGCAG